rnacentral:rRNA from 1 species
AACGAACGCUGGCGGCAUGCCUAACACAUGCAAGUCGAACGAGACCUUCGGGUCUAGUGGCGCACGGGUGCGUAACGCGUGGGAACCUGCCCUUAGGUUCGGAAUAACUCCCCGAAAGGGGUGCUAAUACCGGAUAAUGUCUUCGGACCAAAGAUUUAUCGCCUUUGGAUGGGCCCGCGUUGGAUUAGCUAGUUGGUAGGGUAAAAGCCUACCAAGGCGACGAUCCAUAGCUGGUCUGAGAGGAUGAUCAGCCACACUGGGACUGAGACACGGCUCAGACUCCUACGGGAGGCAGCAGUGGGGAAUAUUGGACAAUGGGCGAAAGCCUGAUCCAGCAAUGCCGCGUGAGCGAUGAAGGCCUUAGGGUUGUAAAGCUCUUUUACCCGGGAUGAUAAUGACAGUACCGGGAGAAUAAGCUCCGGCUAACUCCGUG